rnacentral:rRNA from 1 species
AUGCUAAGGAACUCCAGGAAAGCCGACGCCUCUCUACAGAUGCUCAUAUGCUGGGAGUUUUGGAAUGAGAGGAAUGCUAGGGCGUUCCGUUCCAAAGCUUCCCUUCCUUCCAAAGUGUCUGCGACGAUUAAGCAUGGGGCGAAGACCUGGGUUGUCAUCGGGGCUAGAUUUUUGGGCAACUUAAUUCCGGAAGAGUGA